AUUCCAGACUCCUACGGGAGGCAGCAGUGGGGGAUAUUGCACAAUGGGGGAAACCCUGAUGCAGCGACGCCGCGUGGGUGAAGAAGCGCCUCGGCGCGUAAAGCCCUGUCAGCAGGGAAGAAAAUGACGGUACCUGAAGAAGAAGCCCCGGCUAACUACGUGCCAGCAGCCGCGGUAAUACGUAGGGGGCAAGCGUUAUCCGGAUUUACUGGGUGUAAAGGGGGCGCAGACGGCGAUGCAAGCCAGGAGUGAAAGCCCGGGGCCCAACCCCGGGACUGCUCUUGGAACUGCGUGGCUAGAGUGCAGGAGGGGCAGGCGGAAUUCCUGGUGUAGCGGUGAAAUGCGUAGAUAUCUGGAGGAACAUCAGUGGCGAAGGCGGCCUGCUGGACGACAACUGACGGUGAGGCGCGAAAGCGUGGGGAGCAAACAGGAUUAGAUACCCGCGUACC
rnacentral:rRNA from 1 species